GUCCAAAUCUUGACACAGGUGCUUGUUUAUCAUGAUCUAUUGGGAAUGAUGCAACACACUCACCAUGCAAAGGUCACCCCAAAGUUUUGUAAGCAGUAUGGGCAAAUUGGUGAGGCCAUCAACAAAGCCCUUUUGCAAUACAAAGAAGAGGUGACAAACAAAUCAUUCCCCAGUGCUGCACACACACCAUAUAAAAUCAACCCAGAUGAUUUUAAUGGGUUCGUGAAUGAGUUACAAAAGCUGGGGUUGGACAACGCAGCAGCAGCUGCAUCUGAGAAAUCAGUGGAACUGUAGCAUUGGAAUUAAGGAACUAAGACAAUAUGAGUGAAUAACAUUUAUUCCAACAGUUGCCCACUUUGAGAGCA